UCGACUCAUUCUUUUCUAUUCGUAUAUUAUGCUUUCUAAUAAAUUAAUAUUGUUGUCUUUUUAGUUAAUACUAGCUUAUUAAAAUUUUAAGAAUACAAUUUGUUAAAAAUGAAAUACAUACUAGGUAAGUACAUCAAUCACGUUUUACGGAAGGACACAGGUAUGUGUAAUAUACGGUAGUAGUAUAUGGCUUAACUACGUUUUUGACUGAACUAAUUGUGAAGUUUGAUUGUUUGGAUAUAUGUAUCAAAUUAUGAAUACUUAAUUAAUGUAAAAACAUAACUAAUUUUUUAAGUAUGAAACAUAGUAUCCAGUAAAUGUUAGAAUCUUUGAAGAAAUGUUCAUGUUUUGAAUAUUUCAACUCGCAAGCUGUUCCAAAAUAAGUUGGAUGACAUCAGUUAUCUAUCAGGAAUCAUUACCCAAGAAACAAAUGGCAUGCAGUCAACACAUCUAUCGUUCUAAUAUUAUGGCUCAAGAAUGUUUUAUUGAAUCUAUUAACAAACUCAGUUAUUGUUGUAUCCUUUACUUAAAAUGAAAAUUGUAUAAUGAGUAAUUAUGCGCAUGUGAUCAAGGUUUUUCUGUAAGUUUUCUACUCGGUUUUCCUCGUGAUUUCAUUUUAUAUUUUUAUUUUUUCUGCGGUUAUUCUCUAAUAAACUACUGACUCUAAACAUUUAAUUGUUAGAUAUAUACAAUUUUAUUCAAUUUUUAUUGUUUAUUUUAUAUUGUGUUUUAUUAUUUACUUUAUUAUGUGUUUUAAUAGUUUUUAUUGUUAACAGUGUUUUUUUAUUAUUUUAUAUUUAAUUAAAUUUUUUUUG